rfam:Gossypium hirsutum cultivar TM-1 unplaced genomic scaffold scaffold613.1, whole genome shotgun sequence
UGUUAAAAAUUUUAUUCAAUUUUACUAUUAAAAACUAGCGUGAUAAAUUAAAUAACCACAUAGUGAGACGUGAUGUGUCACGUAUAUCUCAUGCUGACAUACAUGAAUCAGUUUUUAAUAGUAAAAAUAGAUAGAAUUUUUAAAG